UACGGAGGGUGCAAGCGUUAAUCGGAAUUACUGGGCGUAAAGCGCACGUAGGUGGUUUGUUAAGUCAGCUGUGAAAUCCCCGGGCUCAACCUGGGCACUGCAGUUGAAACUGGCAAGCUAGAGUAGGGUAGAGGGGUGUGGAAUUCCAGGUGUAGCGGUGAAAUGCGUAGAUAUCUGGAGGAACAUCAGUGGCAAAGGCGACACCCUGGACUCAUACUGACACUGAGGUGCGAAAGCGUGGGGAGCAAACAGG
rnacentral:rRNA from 1 species